UUGUUUACUUGUUCUCAAUUUUCUGAUCGAGUUUGUUUGGGUGAUUUCCAAAUAUAAGUUGCAUCUUAAAAAAAAAAACUGUUAAUCUUCUUUGGCAUUAACUUUGUUGCGUUCUUGUCAAUCAUAUACCUAUAAAAAUAUUUAAAAAUCAGAAAAAAAGGGAAAAACACUUUCUUCCAAUUCUUUCACUGCCUGUCCUGUUCAAUAUAAACUCACUCAGAGAAAGGGGUUGGUUUUUUCGUUUAAAAUCUCUUUAGCUGUCACUCUUGUUUUUCAUUGAUUAAGCUGGUUGCUUUCUUGUUAAUAUUGCCAAAAACAAAAAAAAAACAAAAAAGAAACUGUCUUCUUCAGAAGAUUUUGUACUGCUUGCCUUUAAGUCUUUAGAUCUGAACUGAAUUCAAAAAAGAAAACAAAAAGAGAAAACCUGUUUUGAAGAUUUCUUUUCUUGCUACUAUUCUUCUGCCUAUACUGCUGUCUUUUCUGUGAUCGAUCACUCUAAGAGGAAGAAGUGUGCACUCUAGAAGUUUUGGUGCCGUCUUCAUCUGUGCUUUGAUAUAUCAGACGCGAAAGGAAGUGAUGCUGGUCAUAAAGUGAUAUCGAACUUUAGCUGCUGCCUCUCAUCACAUCCCAAUCUCAAGAAGGUUAACUUCUCUUCGCAUUCAGCGAGCUGCUUAAGAAAGUGCCAAGGUAGUAAGCGAUUGUGGAGAGACGAUGAACCACCCACAGCAUAGCCACCCCCUGAGGUUCGAACGCAACAACAGGUCAUUUGAGUGCAGUGGAUGCAAAGAACGAGGGAAUGGCCCUAGGCACCAAUGUACACAUCAGAAUUGUACCUUCGUCCUUCACAAGUUUUGUUACACAGCUCGCCCUGAGGAGCCACCCAAACCCCAUCCAUUAACGGGUAGGGGCCAAUUCAAGUUUCUCUGGGGACCUCCGGGCGGACCGAACCAGCUGGUGUGCGUUGCUUGCGGCUGCGACGUUCGAGGUUUCGUGUAUCAUGAUUUCCAAGGCAACGUUGACUUGCACCCUUGUUGCAUGGACCUUGAGAAAGAAAAGCUUGUUCCCGGUUCUACGACUACGCGGAUGAGUCUUCAGGAAACAAUGCCGUCCAGGUGCAAGGCAUGCGAGAGGAGGAAUUCAAACGUACCGCCCAAAUUCAGAGGGUGGUCCUACGUAUCGUCUGGUGGAAAGUAUUGCUACCAUGUCAGUUGUGUGCUGAAAUUGCGUCGGGAUAAACGGUAAAAGGGCAAAGCUGGUUCUUCUUCUACAUGUUCGACAGCAUGAAAAGGCUGGUCAAGAUCAAAGCAGGGGCGGGGAUAGGUUUCAGCGUUAUAGCAUUAGCUAUACUCGGAAAUCCAUCUCCAUUAGUGUUAGGUGCUGGUGGAUGCGUGUGGGAUUGAAGGUUGGAUACA